UCGCAAAUCGAUCCAGUUGGUGCCGUAAAUGUGGCCUCAUCUCGCAAUUUACGAGUUUCCAUCCGUUACUUGCAAUACUUUGACAUCAAGCGAGAAAUUAUAAACGCAUGCUGCGCUCAUAAACGCGUGUUUCGAAUGCUUUUCGACCAGUUUCAACAUCCGCCGUACGCGUUCGAAAGCUUUCCCCGAACGGCACGGAAUAUUUCCUGCCGCCGUACCGUGAGAAGAGGUCAAUGAACCGAGCGGAGGUCUACAUACAACCUAGUUCGCGAAUCGCUAGCCGCUGCUACUGCCGUUCGCUGCCGUCGUGUGCCGUUUGUUUCCACUCUCUUCUCGGUUGGUGGAACGGUUUUCGCCGCGUUGGCCCCUCCACUCCCACGAAACGGUAGUGUGCAGAAAACAAAAUUAGGGCGCAAGUGUCCCCUUUAGCUCCGACCCUAAAAGUGCAUUUUCCCGACUGCGACCGGGGUGCCGCUGCUCGUUUGCCCAAAUGACAGUGCAGUUAAAGCCAGAGUGCACCCUGUCCGGUGCAUCCCCGUGACACGUUCUCCGUUGUACCCGCGCUCCCUUUCGGUGCCGAAGUCGUUACGACGGGACGACGGGAAAAGCUGGUCAAAGUGCGAUUGUAGUGGUGUCUAGUGACGAGAGCUGUUUCGCUAUUUCGCAUCAUUCCCCGUGUGUCUGGAGCACAAAACGGCCAACAUAUAUAAGCGCAGCAUAAGCAUUAUUGGUGACGUAUCGGUUUGUUGUUGGUGGGUUGGCAUAAGGGUGGCUUCCCUCUCCCCCUUUCCCAAGUCAUCCCCUUUCUAUCGCUGCGCUGUAAGAGUGUACGUGUGAGAGGGAAAGAGAGUGGGACAGAGCGAGAAAGCAAUGCCACCCGUUCGGAAUGUGGUGAGGAUGUGUGCGCGGGUGUGGUGAAUAAAUUUGACAUUUAUUUGUUAUUGACCUGAGCUGUGUGUGUGUGUGUGUGCAUGUGCUAGAGAAGGUUUUGCGGAAGGUGGACGAGGACGGCUGAGGUGCCAGUAGUACACACAACACCGCAACACCGCAACACGGCAGCAACCUUCCUCGGGUGGCGGCCCCGUCAACGUACUUGGCGCCCACCCCCCCACCCCCCUCCACCCCGUUGGUUGGAGCGCAUUGAAAGGCAGCCACGGCAAACUCAGCGACCGACUCGAGGUCACCGCACGUGUGCGCGAGCGAGCGAGCGAGUGCCGUACGAGCGGCUGCAGAAGUGAAAGAGCGCGCACACGAACCUCAACGACGACGACGACGGCGAUGGCAAUGGAGGACAACAACAACAACCCAAGUAGCAGAGCCGAAGUUUUUCAGAGAUUUUUCUGUGUGCCAAAGCGAGAUGCCCUGUCUUCUCUCUCUAGAUUUUGGACAGCAAACCGCUGCGCGUGUAGAGGUGUGUGCGUGUGACGAACAACGAUGGAUGAAAAACGCGAGGAGCGGGGUCCGAAGUCUUUCGUUGGUCACACACACAUGCAUCUACCGUUGGAUUGCGCUACAUCGAGUCUACCCAUCUCUCUCGAUCUACCAUGAUUUUUUCUGCUAUCGCACUCAUCUGGGAGUUAGGCAUCCUCAGUCUGCCCAGAACUUUCGUUGUGGAAGGAUGUGCGGGAGUGAUGUGCGAUUUCUUGUGUCCCCUACUUUCCUUGUUUACGUUUUGCGCAGUGUUGCUUCUUCUUCCAUUGUGGAAUGAUUUAUCCUAGCAAAUUGUUGAGUUACAGGUGCAUGCGCCAUUCAUCAACGCCUACCUGUUGGCAUCAUCAACAAUCUUUAUAGUAGGUGACGGAAAGAAAUUGUUUUCCAGUUUUAAAAUAUUAAGCGUUCAGCACAACUCAGCCACAAAACAACGCACUGGAUUGCGCUAAGAACCUGUCGAAACGCGCGCAGCCCCCGGGAGCGGUAGGAGAA